AUUGGGUUUUAUUUUAUUUUUAUUUCAGUAAUUAUUGAGGGGCCUCUAUUUGGGAUGGAUGUAUCUUUUAAACACACCACCCAAAUGACUAUCUCCAUGAUUCUGAAUUGGAAGCCUGGGUCAGGAGAAGUCUUCUUCCUCAAAUUUUGUCUUGGGUAACCACAUCACCACCCUUUCUUCUCCAAGCUUUGCUCAAGAAGCUUAAAUAAAUCCCUGUUUCCUCUCAAGAUAAAAUACAAACUCCUCUGAGACUAAAAACUCCUCACAAUCUUGCUCCCAACCCUCUUUCUGGGCUAAUUCACAUUAUCCACUUACAUUCUUGCCAGACACCUUUUCUUAUUUUUUUAUUUUUUAUUUAAACAUUAUUUGAUUUGGUCAAUUUCAAACUAUUCAUUGAAUACGAAAAUCAUUUUCUUUUCCUCCCUCCUGUCCCACCACCUCUCCCAUAGCUGAUGAUAGCUGAUGUGCAAUUCCACUGGGUAUCACAUGUGUCCUUGUUCCGAACCCAUUUCCACGUUGGUAUUUGUGCUAGGAUGUUCAUUUAGAGUCCCCAUCCCCAAUCAUGUCCCCUCAGUCCCUGUAUUCAAAGCAGUUGCCUUUCUUCGGUGUUUUUAUUCCCACAGUUUGUCCUCUGCUUGUGGAUAGUGUUUUUUCUUAGAUCCCUGCAGGUUGUUCAGGGACAUUGCAUUGGCACUAAUGUAGAAGUCCAUUACGUUCAAUUGUACCACAGUGUAUCAGUCUCUGUACAGUGUUUUCCUGGUUCUGCUCCUCUCACUCUGCAUCACUUGCUGGAGGUUGUUCCAGUCCCCAUGGAAUUCCCCCAUUAUAUUGUUCCUUUGAGCACAAUAGUAUUCCAUCACCAACAUAUACCACAAUUUGUUCAGUGUAAUAAUUAAAAUAGUUGAUGUUGUAAACUGUAGUGAAUUAAAAUGGUGGAAGAUAUAAAUUGUAGUAAAUAUAAGAGUGGGUGAGUAAAUUUGACCGCAGAAAAUAUGUUUCACUACAGUGUCUUGGUUUUUAAAUCAAAUGUAAGGUGGUCGCCAGGGAAUAUAUUCCCAAUUAUGAAUAUGCCCAAGUCAACUGGGUUUUAUAGAGAAUUUAAUUAAUAAUACAAUGAGAUAUUAAAGAAAAGGAGAAGGAAAGAGAAAAGGAAUUAAUGAGAAAGAAUCAGGCCUGGCCAACCCAGGCUUAAGCCUUAAGAGAGAAACCAGUCAGUUAUCACUCACCACAAGAUUUGUCUUAAGCAAGGAUGUCUGGGGAACAGAAUCUCCCCAGAGGGAGUUCCAGCCAGAGUCAGCCUCCCAAGGGACUUCUCAAGAGAUCUUCAAAGGGCCUUCUCCAAAAGGAUUUAUCUCCAAGGAUCUAUCUCCAAGGAUCCAAGGAUCUACAAGCCUCCAGAGAUUCCUUUUCUUAUAUAAGGGGUUUUUUCCUAUGUCACCUCCCCUAAGUUCUUCCAUCUACCAAUCACUGUAGAUGUUUUCUAAAAGACAGCCCAUCUGAAUUCCAGCUAAGUUGACUAAUCCCCUCAGUAUGUCUGAACCAGAGAAAACACUGCUGUGUCGACUAAUCCCCUCAGUAAAUCUGAACCAGAGAAAACAUAGCUGAGUCGACUAAUCCCAUGAAGAGAAAACCUGCCCGACUUUUAUAGGUACCUAGCAUCCCAUUGUAUCAAUUCUAAAAAUAGGCAUAGCUCAAAGAACUCCUUGCCUCAUCAUAAGCAUGGAUCCAAGUACUUUCGUUGUUUAGCAAGGAGUUUUCUCCCCUAAAGCAGUCUUAAGUACGGGUGGAGUAGAGGUCCUCCCAUUUCUGAUCCUGGCGAGUUCUCACAGUCAAAAUGAGGAAUGUUUCCAGUAGGGAAUUGUUCCAAUUGAGAAUUCCCUGAUGGGGAAAUUUUUAACAUUCACAAGUCUGAGAAAUUUCAAGAUUUACAUCAGCCAUUCCCCAAUUGAAGGGCAUCCCCUCAUUUUCCAAUUUUUGGACACCACGAAGAUUGCACCUAUGAAUAUUCUUGUACAAAUCUUUUUCCUUAUUAUCUCUUUGGGGUACAAACCCAGCAAUACUAUAGCAGGGUCAAAAGGUAGGUCCUUUGUGCAUAGUUCCAAAUUGCCCUCUAGAAUGGUUAGAUCAAUUCACAACUCCACCAGCAAUGGAUUAAUGUCCUGACUUUGCCACAUCUCCUCCAACAUUCAUUACUUUCCGUAGCUGUCAUGUUAGCCAAUCUGCUAGGUGUGGGGUGGUACCUCAGAGUUGUUUUGAUUUGCAUCUCUCUGAUUAUCAGAGAUUUAGAAACACUUUUUCAUGUGCUUAUUAAUAGUUUUGAUUUCUUUGACUGAAAACUGCCUAUAUCAAUUGGAGAAUGGCUUGAUUUUUUUGUACAGCUGAUUUAGCUCUUUGUAAAUUUGAGUGAUUAAACCUUUGUCAGAAGUUUUUGUUAUGAAGAUUGUUUCCCAAUUUGUUGCUUCCCUUCUGAUUUUGGUUACAUUGGUUUUGUUUGUACACAACCUUUUUAAUUUGAUGUAGUCAAAAUUAUUUAUUUUACAUUUUGUGACUUUCUAAGUCUUGCUUGGUUUUAAAAUCUUUCCCGUCUCACAAGUCUGACAUGUAUACUAUUCUGUGUUUACAUAAUUUACCUAUUGUUUCCUUCUUUACGUUCAAGUCAUUCACCCAUUCUGAGUUUAUUUUGGUGUAGGGUGUGAGGUGUUGAUCCAAACCUAAUUUCUCCCACACUGCCUUCCAGUUUUCCCAGCAGUUUUUAUGAAAUAGUGGAUUUUUGUCCCAAAAGCUGGGGUCUUUGGGAUUGUCAUAGAUUAUCUUGCUGAGGUCACUUACCCCAAGUCUAUUCCACUGAUCCUCCUUUCUGUCUCUUAGCCAGUACCAAAUUGUUUUGAUGACCACUGCUUUAUAAUAGAGUUUGAGAUCUGAGACUGCAAGGCCACCUCCCUUUGUAUUUUUUUUUCAAUAUUUCCCUGGAUAUCCUUGAUCCUUUGUUCUUCCAAGUGAACUUUGUUAUGGCUUUCUCUAGUUCAGUAAAAAAAAAUUUUCAAUGGGUAUGGCACUAAAUAGGUAGAUAAGUUUGGGUAGUUUGGUCAUUUUUAUUAUAUUGGCUCGUCCUACCCAUGAACAGUUAAUGUUUUUCCAUUUUCUCAAAUCUAGUUUUAGUUGUGUGGAAAGUGGUUUUUUUUUGUUUUUGUUUUUUGUCGCAGCAAAUAGAUUCCUAAGUAUUUUAUAUUGUCUAAGGUGAUUUUGAAUGAAAAUUCUCUAAUUUCUGCUGUUGAUGACUUAUGUGGAUUUAUUUUGUAUCCUGCAACUUUGCUAAAGUUGUUGAUUAUUUCCACUAGCUUUUUAGUUGAUUCUCUAGUAUGUGUUAAGUAGACCAUCAUAUCAUCUGCAAAGAGCGAUAGUUUGGUCUCUUCAUUGCUGAUUUUAAUACCCUCAAUUUCUUUUUCUUCUCUAAUUGCUACUGCUAGUGUUUCUAGUACAAUGUUGAAUAAUAAAGGUGAUGAGGAUCAUCCUUAUUUCAUUCCUGAUAUUAUUGGGAAUGUAUCUAGUUUAUCCCCAUUGCAGAUGAUGUGGGCUGAUGGUUUAAGAGAGAUACUGUUUUAUUAUUUUUAAGAAAGAUCCUUCUAUGCCUAUACUUUCUAGUGUUUUCAUUAGGAAUGGGUGUUUUAUUUUAUCGAAGGCUUUUUCUGCAUCUAUUGAGAUAAUCAUGUGAUUUUUGUUGGUUUGCUUGUUGAUAUGGUCAAUUAUGUGGAUGAUUUUCCUGAUAUUGAACCAUCCUUGCAUUCCUGGUAUAAAUCCUACCUGAUCAUGGUGAAUACUCCUUGUGAUGACUUGCUGGAGUCUUUUUGCUAGUAUCCUGUUUAAGAUUUUUGCAUCUAUGUUCAUUAGGGAGAUUGGUCUGUAGUUUUCUUUCUCUGUUUUUGGCCUGCCUGGCUUUGGGAUCAGUAUCAUAUUUGUGUCAUCAAAGGAAUUUGGUAGAACUCCCUCUUUGCUUAUUUUGUCAAAUAGUUUGUAUAGUAUUGGGAUUAGCUGUUCUUUGUUUGAUAGAAUUCACUUGUGAAUCCAUCAGGCCCUGGGGUUUUUUUCUUGGGGAGUUCUUUGAUGGCCUAUUCAAUUUCUUUUUCUGAUAUGGGAUUAUUUAAGAAUUCGAUUUCUUCUUCUGUUCAUCUAGGCAAUUUAUAUUUUUGUAAAUAUUCAUCCAUAUCACCUAGGUUGGUAUAUUUCUUGCCAUAUAGUUAGGCAAAAUAGUUUUUAAUGAUUGCUUUAAUUUCCUCUUCAUUGGAGGUGAGUUCUCCAUUUCCGUCCCUAAUACUGUUAAUUUGAUUUUCUUCUUUCCUUUUUUAAAUUAGAUUGACAAGUAUUUUGUCUAUUUUGUUUGUUUUUUUCAAAAUACCAGCUUCUACUCUUAUUUAUUAGUUCAAUAAUUCUAUCACUUUCGAUUUUAUUAAUUUCUCCCUUCAUUUUUAGGAUCUCUAAUUUGGUUUUCUUCUGGGGGUUUUUAAUUUGUUCACUUUCAAGUUUUUUGAUUUGCAUGUCCAAUUCAUUGAUCUCUGCCCUCCCUAAUUUGUUAAUAUAUGAAUUCAAGGAUAUAAAUUUUCCCCUGAGUACUGCUUUGGCUAUAUCCCACAGUUUGAAAGGAUGUCUCAUCAUUGUCAUUUUCUUCAAUGAAAUUACUGAUUGUUUCUAUGAUUUGUUCUCUGACUAGUUGAUUUUGGAGAAUCAUAUUAUUUAAUUUCCAAUUAGUUUUUGAUUUAUCUCUCCAUGUACCCUUACUUAUCGUUAUUUUUAUUGUCUUGUGAUCUGAAAGGUUGCAUUUAUUAUUUCUGCUUUUCUGCAGUUGUAUGCCAUGUUUUUAUGACCUAGUCCAUCUUUGUGAAUGUGCCAUGUGCUGCUGAAAAGAACAUGUAUUCCUUUUUGUCCCUAUUUUUCUCUAUAUAUCUACUAAUUUUUCUAAGAUUUCAUUCACCUCUUUUACCUCUUUCUUAUUUUUUUUAUUUGAUUUAUCUAAAUUUGAUGGUGAUAGGUUCAGGUCUCCCACUAGUAUAGUUUUACUAUUUCCUCCUUCAAUUCUACUAGUUUCUCCAUUAGAAAUUUGGAUGCUAUACCAUUUGGUGCAUACAUGUUGAUUAGUGAUAUUUCCUCAUUAUUUAUACUCCUUUUUAUCAGGAUGUAUUUACCUUCCCUAUCCCUUUUAAUCAGGUCUCUUUUUACUUUAGCUUUGUCACAUAGCAUGAUUGCAACUACUAUAAAGAUUACUAUAUAAAGAUUACUACUAUAAAGAUUAAAAUUUAGGGGAGAUGGGGAGACUGAGGCAUCUGAGGCAGGUAGAAAUUAGUUUCUCUCUGCAAGGAGUAUUAUAUUUUUUUAGAGGUUUAUUAAAGGUUAAAGAUUAAGAAUAUACAAGUAAGAAACAUGUGCCUAGGCCAGAGGCCUAGACAAAAUAACCUCACAUCAUGGAAGAGACGCCUCUGCUCCAAAACGGAAGUCCAAAAACCUUCAAAAGCCUUCAAAAGCUUUUGCUUAAAUAUCUUCUCGAUCUCAGCCCAGGUGAGAUUACAAGGCAUUCUGGGGAAGUGGAGCAAAGGCUCAUGGGGAUUGUAGUCCUGUAUUCGAGUCUAUUUUUCACAUUCCCCCAUGUGAUCAUUUGCAAAAAAAUUAAUUUUUUUCCAAAGGAUCAUGAAAACAAAAUCAACUUAAAAGAUUACAGUAGUGUGAGGAUAAGAGAAAAAAGAAUAAAACCAAUAAUUUCUGAACACAUUGACAAAAAGCCGUUAGGGGGCAGUCCCCUUUGGCAUAAAAGUAUACAUACAAAUAAAUGUUCAAUCAGCCACACCCAAAGUUCAAUUUUGUGCAACUUGUGGUCUGGAGGCUUCUUCAUGGUGGCUUCUCCAACAGUUCAGUUCUGGAUUCAGAGAGGUAGCAUCUUCUUUACCUAAAAUUCUUCUCAAAAGGAAUUUAAACUUGCAAUUUAAAUAAUGAUUUUUUUUUUUACAUUCCCCCGUGUUGUGGGUGAUUGAAAGAUUCAGAAUCAGUUAGGGAUGCAUGGCUGAGGUAUGAGGUAUAUGAAUCAAUUGGCAAGAGAUAUUAAAAAGAUAUCAGAAAAUCCAAAAGAAAAGAAAAAUUUCUGGAUGAAAAUAUAGACUAUCAAAGUCUUAUAUGUAAAAAUUCCAAGUAGAAGAAAAAUAAAUCUAUAACAGGUCCUUGAAUCAGGGCCCAAUCAAAAUGAUCUAAGUAAUGAUGCAUUUACCCAGUCAGUGCCAGGACUACAGAAAGGUACCACACUAUGAGAGGCAGAAAAGGGGACCAGAUUAUAGAAGCCAAGUAGGAGCCAAGGUUUUGGGGAUACUCAUCUUUGAGUAUCUUCAGAGUGAGUGUAGAUACAAGGAAAGCCUAUUUCUUAACACAUGUUAAACAUAGUAACCUUGAAUCUUCACACUAGGUUCAAGACCUUUGUAUUGGCCUAGAAGUGCAUCAAUCCAUCCUAGAUUGGCCUUUCUUUGGCCCUAUGAAAUGGCUCUUGUGUGUAGCUCUUGUCCUGGAAUCAGACAAAAUCAUUAAGCAAAGUCCCAUAAUUUAUUUAAAUAAUUAGUGGAAUCAUUUUCAUAGUCACAAGCUUUUUAGGGCAUGCAUUAGAAAAUGUAUCUUAAACUUGUAGCACUGAAAAAAUAAAAAGUUAAAGAAAAUCUUAAUGCUGGUGACAUGUGCUUCAAAUAUAAAAAGGAGAGAAAAAAUAAUAAAAAAAACUGAAAAAGUAUAUUGCACAUGCAAGAAAAAUAUAAUAAUAAAAGAGCUUUAAAAAAUUCAAAAAUAUAGCUUAUAAUCAUUGACACUCUGUGUCAGCUAAGAAAAUAUAAAAUACAAGGCUUUCUCACCAAAAAAUGAGAUCCAUUUCCUCUUUGUAUCUGGCCAUGAUCGCUGUGAGUAGAAGGCAAAUGAAUUGAACAAGGUUAACAAUUUUUCAUUUUUAAAAAUACAGUAGUACAAAUAUGUAGAUAUCAAAAUCCCCAAAAUUCUCAAUAGCCCAAUUAAUUACAAUAGCAAACACACUUUCAUAUUUCACAUAAGUUGCUGUAUGACAUUUUUAAAACCUAUGAAUUGAUGGACAUUUGUCACAAUUUUUACAAAUGUAGCAAUCUUUCAACCUUGGUAUUUAAACAUAUUUUUUAAACAAAGUAAAACUCAUCUUGGGUUUAGAACAUAAGCAAGAAAUCUAUAUAUCAUUCUGGUAGAAGUAAAGUAGUGAGCUGAAGAGCAUAAAUAAAGGGGUGCUCCUUUUUCUUGGAGGCUUAUAGGGAUACAAAUGCCCUGAGAUUAACUGCCCAACUUCCAUUCACAUGUGGGAAGGUUGGGGGUUAUAAACUACAUUUCACUUCAGCUACUGUAAUGGGCCUUACCUCCUGGUAGGGGCAGGGAAAAAUAACCAGAUUGUUAAAAAAAAUUCAAAAAUCAUAUUUAAAAAACCCUUAAAAUCAAAUCAUUUGAGGUAUUUAGCACAUUAAAAUUUCCAAGGUUGUUAAUACAAUUAUAACCAGUUCUGAAGUCCAUCUAUCCUUGGCAAAAUAGAAAAAAAGCUGUUUUUUCAUAUAUGGGCUUAUUCAAUAAUAUUUGUUCAACACAGUUAUAGGGGAAAAACAACAGAAUUUUAAAACUCAGUACAUUCAAAGUAAAUUCAAUCAACCUUCAGUUCAAGCAGAAUAAUAUUGAAUCCAGUAAUAUAUGAACUUAAAAUCACAAAGUUAUAUCUUAAACAAAACAAUGCAAUAGAAUACAGAGAUUUUUUUUUAUAAACCAUUGGAGUCUGAAAUGCCUUAGAAUAUAGCCUUUAGUCUCUUCAAAGUUCCUUGGGUUUUUUUUUUUGUUUGUUUGUUUGUUUUUAAUUAUCCAUUUAAAUGUCUAUUGUCGGAAGGUAGAGUAGUAAAGGCUAGGCUAUGGGGUUCAAGGGAUCCGUCCAGGGCCCCAUAGCUGGGAAGGAUUGGCGGCCAGAUUUUAACUAGAGACCUCCCGUCUCUGGGCCUGGCUUCCAGUUCGCUGGGCCACCCAUUUUCCUCCCCAAAGUUAAAGUUGAAUCUUUGGGCUGAGUCUGCUCCCAGAUAGGCAGGCAAAAUCAAUAAAAUUGCCAGAAGAGUCAAAAAUCCUUUUAAACAGCCCAUUGCUAUUAAGUUUCUGUUUGAAAAGUCUGUUUCUUCUCUCUAGUCUUUUCUCUCUUUCCCCUCUGAUCACCCUGUGGCCAAUACCCCCAGCCACGUGGAGGCUUAGCCUAAGGGAAAAUUGCCCGGUCUCCUUUCCCUCUGGUCUCUCCCCUCCACCCACGUGGCCAAUACUGUUACCAGCUGGUCGCAAUGAGUCCUGAGCGAUCUGCUCCAAGGAUCUGGGUGAUGAGCCGGCUGGAGUCACGCUUGUGGGUCUGGGGCGCAGAAAUAGGCAGGCAGCGGCUGGUGAGAGGCCAGGAGCAGGAGCGGCUGCGGGGGUGGGCAAGGCCGGGACCAGGUACCAGGUGAGGACAAUCAGGGCUGCAGGUUGCAGGCAGGAAGCGGCGGGGCAGGUCCGGAGCCUGUAGCAGCUUUGCGAGGGUAGAAAACCUUGGCCAGAGAGAUAUGGCUCAAAAAAAAAAAUUUCUAGGUACUAGCUAUUAAAAUUGAAUUUAAGAUCAGAAAAGAAAUCAGAAGACUGAGUUUUUUUCCCAUUAGGUCGCCAUAACUAUAAAGAUUAAAAUUUAGGGGAGAUGGGAAGACUGAGGCAUCUGAGGCAGGUAGAAAUUAGUUUCUCUCUGCAAGGAGUAUUAUAUUUUUUUAGAGGUUUAUUAAAGGUUAAAGAUUAAGAAUAUACAAGUAAGAAACAUGUACCUAGGCCAGAGGCCUAGACAAAAUAACCUCACAUCAUGGAAGAGAUGCCUCUGCUCCAAAACGGAAGUCCAAAAGCCUUCAAAAGCCUUCAAAAGCCUUUGCUUAAAUAUCUUCUCGAUCUCGGCCCAGGUGAGAUUACAAGGCAUUCUGGGGAAGUGGAGCAAAGGCUCAUGGGGAUUGUAGUCCUGUAUUCGAGUCUAUUUUUCACACUACUGCCUUCUUUCUUUCAGUUGAGGCCCAGUAGGUCUUGUUCCACCCUUUAAUUCUGACCUUGUGAGUAUCUACACACCUCAUGUGUGUUUCUUGUAGACAACAUAUGGUAGGAUUCUGGAUUCUAAUCCACUCUCCUAUUCAUCUAGGUUUUAUGGGUGAGUUCAUCCCAUUCACAUUCAAAGUUAUGAUUGUCACUUUUGAAUUCCCUAGCAUUUUGAUAUCCUUCCUAGUUCUGACCUUUCUUCUUGUGCUACAUCCUUUUAAACCAGUGGUUUACUUUUACUUGGGAAUUUUCCCAAGGCAACCACUUAUUUACUUUUAGUCAACCCCCCUAUAUCCUUCCCUUGAUAUGUUUCCCUUUCUGGUCCCUCCCUUUUUGUUCCCUUCUUGUUAUUUAGGGUCUGUUAAGUAUCCUCCUCCCUCUCCUUCCCUCUCCUUUUUUCAUUUUUUGAGCUCCCUACCCCCCUUAGUUUCCCCUUUUUCCUUACCCUGAAGGGUAAGAUAGACUUCCAGAUCCCAAUGACUCUAGAUGCUCUUCCCUCUCAACUGAUUUCACUGAGAGUAAUAUUUGGGUAUUACCUAUUAGCACUCUCUUCUUCUCUCUCUUAUAAGAGUAUUCUUCCCCUCCCCUUCCCAUGUGUAUCUUUUUGUGACAAAGAUUAUUCUAUUUUUUUUUAAUUUCUUUAAGUAUCUCUUAGUACCAUCAUGGAUUCCCGCUCACCCUUUUUAUCCCCCAUAUCAUUUUAGAGUCCUAAUGCCCCAAUCUUUUCCUAUAAAUGAUUCUUCUAUUUACUAUAAUAAUGAAAACAUUUUUGAGAGUUACAAAUAACAUUUCCCCCAUAUAUUAAUAUCUAUAACUUGAUCUAAUUGUAGCCCUUAAAGAAAAGAGUUUGAAAUAACAAAAAAAAACAAGAAAACAAAACAAUUUUCUCCUUUUCCCUCUCUUUUAUAUUUACCUUUUCAUGUUCAUAAAAUCUCCAUAAACCCAGCUGACUUGGGUACUAUUUUCAUACUUGGGAAUUUUCCCAAGGCAACCACUUAUUUUUAACAUAAAAUCAAGACCCUCAAAAUUAUCUUUACAAUUUUGGCAAUUCACAGUCUUGAAACCCACAUUUUUGCAGUCACAAAGAUAGACUGGACUUGGGAGAGACUGAGGUUAGGAUACUUACCAAAGGCAACUACAGUAGUUCAUGCAGGAGAUGAUGAGGGCCUGAACCAGAAUGGCGGUGGUGUCAGGAGAGAAGGGGACAUAUUGGAGAGAUGCUGCAGAAGUAAAUGGACAGACCUUGGCACCAGUUUGAAUGGGAGGAGGGGGUAGUGAGAGAGUAAAGAAUUGAGAAUGACACUUAGGUUGUAAAUUUGAGGGUCUAGGAAAUUUGGAGUUGCCCUCCAAUAAAAGGGAAAUUUGAGGGAAAAGAUAAUGAGUUUAGUUUUGGAUGUAUUGGGUUUAAGAUAAUAAUAGCUACCCUUUAUAUAGAACUGUAUUCCAGGCACUCUAAAAGCAUUUUUCAAAUAUUAUCUCAGUUGAUUAUAUAUCAUUUGAUGUCUACAGGACAUCUUUUUUAAAUUUUCCUUUGGGUGGUGGUAGAUUAUAAGCUUCUUGAAUGCUGUGCCUAACUUCUGCCUUUUUUUAUUUUCUGUAUUCCCAGCACUUCUUACCACAAUGCCUGAUAUAUAUUAGGUGCUUAAUGUUUAUUGAAUUGAAUUGGAAAAUUGGAUGUGUAGAUUUGGAAAUGAUCAGCCCUGUUGCUAAGAUCUAAAACAGCUUAAUUUAAGGAGAAUCAAAAAGAGAAUCAAAAAGGUGGUUUUUUUUACUCACCUGUUCUUGCAGUUGUAUUUUUGAAGCCAAGUUAAAAAAGAAAACAAAACUGACUGAUAGAGCAAGUAACAAAGAGAGAAAGGAAAGAGAUUUCACAGAAACUUUUUGAGGGGUUUUUCCACCAAUUUUGUGGUCAGCCAUAAACUGUAAUAAUUAAUAUGGUUGGGUGUCAUAAACUGUAGUGAGUAAAAUACUGUCAAGAUGCAAGGCAGUCCCACGGCCAUAAUGAUUAAGCUGUCUUCCGUUUGUUAUUUAUUUUGACUGAUUGUUCGCCACCAGCUGGGAACCCUGGAGUCACAAGUGAGGCUGGACCCUGACCACAGCAGGAGUUACAGCACAAACUACGUGAACUUCAUGAAUCCGGAGCUGCAGUACAAGCCAGACCACUAGACUUUUCUCUGCAUGACCUGAAUCCAGGAGAUAAAGUUUAUAUUAAGAAUUUCAAGAGAACUGGAGCAACUCAACCUUAGGGGGAAGGACCAUUCCAAAUAUUGUUAACUACUCCAACAUCUAUAAAGAUUGGAGAAAAGGAGUCUUGGAUUCACUGCUCAUAUGUGAAGAAAGUUUCAUCUGUUGAGACUGAUUGACUGUACCCUAUCACAUGCAUUGAAGAUAGUAAUCCAUAGACAAAUGGAUGCUAUUUUUUGAGAACACAUUGAAUUACUAAUUUUUCCUUAUUUUUAUUAUUGCUUUUCUUUAUUUUUGAUCAGAAUAUUUGAUUUUUUCUUAUUUCUUGUACUAAAGGUACACAUAAUUAAUAUUAAUAUUUUCUUUUACAGUAAUACAAGUUAAUAUAUAUAUUCUUGCUAUAAUGUCAAUGCACAAACUCUAAACUAUGGGAACCUGCCAUUUAUUGAUAAAAUAUUAUGAGACUGAUUAAUGUUUAUGUAUGAUUCCAGAAAAAGGGAUAAAAAACAAUGAGCACAGACAACCUGAAAAGUGCCAAAAAAGAGCACACAUGAAAUCCUAAUGUGAGACUCGAAGUUGCGACAUUUGACAUAUGUUAAGCCGUAGGACUUCCUUGUAUCUACACUCUUUGUGAAGUACUCAUACAAGUACAAGAUUUGACUAUCAUGCUGGCUCCCUAUAUCCCUGAGAAUGACAAAAAAUUUCAAAUAAGGGAAUGACACUUCCCUACCAAAAUAGAAUUCUAGUUCUUUUCUUUUUAUAUUUUGGCACCUUCCUGUAGUCUUGGCUACAAAUGGCUAAGUGAAAUAUUACUGCAUUCUGUCCUACAGAUUUGUGGGAUAGAAAUUACUUUAAAUUGGGCCUAUGCAAAGGCCUAUUUUUAAUUUUUCCCUUACGUUUUUGAUUGUGCUUUUCUAUUCUGCUGAUAACUGACUCAUACAUCCCCAUAACUUAACAUUGCAUUCUGAGUUGAACUGGAUGUUUUUUAACACCUACUUCAGGGGGAUUGUAUUUUAUUUAAAAUCUAAGAAUUUUGAUUUUUUGUUUGAGAUUGUAUUUUACAUAAAAUCCAAGAUUUUGAUUUUGCUCCAGAAAAGAUCUUCAGGAAAAAGCUUGAAACUCCUAAAUCCAGAGAAUGAAUUGUUGCAGAAAAAUACCGGAAAAUCCACACUACAUCAAGAAGAUCAAGAAUGAACUUUGGAUAUGGUUGAUUGAACUGAACUUUGAUUGAACAUUUAUUGUAAAUGUACACAUUUAUGCCAAAAGGGACUGCCCCUAAUUUGGCUUUCUGUCAAUGCGCCCAGCAAAAUCUUUUCUAUUUCCUCCCUCACUAUUCUAAUUUCUCUUAGAAAAUUGAAUAUUGUGUAUAUCUAUAGUUAGAAGUGCAUUUAGAACUACAAGAUGAUUAUGUUAAAUGAUCAAUGGGGAGACUAGUCUCCCAAUGAUCAUCAGGGGGAUUGUGAAUCUUGAAAUUUCUCAGACUCGUGAAUGUUAAAAAAUCCCUCAUUGAGGAAUUUUUUAUUGGGACAAUUCCCUAUUGGGACUAUUCCCCAUUUUAAACAGUGAAGCUACUUAGAUCUAAAAUGUGAGAACUCUACUUAGAUCAGAAAUGUGAAGACCUCUACUCUACCCGUACUUAAGCCUGCUUUAGGGGAGAAAACUUCUUGCUGAACAAUGAAAAAUACUUACACCCAUACUUAAGCCGUGCCUAUUUGUAGAAUUAAUACAAAGGGGUGCUAAGUACCUAUAAAAGUCAGGCAACUUGUGAACUUACAAGGAGCAAAGAGGAAAAAACUUACUCAGAUAUUCUAGCCUACUCAGGUAUGGAUUACUAAAAGGAUUAGUCUACUCAGGUGUGAAUUCAGAAUGGGCUAUCCUUUGGACAACGUCUACUGUGAUUGAUAGAUGGAAGAACUUAGGGGAGGUGUCAUAGGAGAAAACCCCCUAUAUAAGAAAAGGACAGGCUGUUAGAAGAGAUAGAGACUCUAAAACAGUCCCUAAGGAGGCUGUUAGAAGGAGAGUGCUCUAAGGAGGAGGCUCUGAAGAAACAGGCCCUAAGGAGUCAAUUGGGAGAGGCUCUUGAGGACAGUCAGAAGAAUCCCUCUCUGGAGAAUGAUGGCUGGCUGAACUGGUGUCUAUAUCCUUCUUAGACAGAUCUUGUGGUGAGUGAUAAAAGACUGAUCUCUCUCUCUCUCUCUCUCUUAAGACUCAGGUCUAGGCCAUGUUGGCUUAAGGCCCUUCAUACUUAUUCCUUUCUUACUCUUUCUCUCUUUCUUUAAUUCCUCAUUGUAUUAAUUAAUUAAAUUCUCUAUAAAACCCA